GAUGAACGCUGGCGGCGUGCCUAAUACGUGCAAGUCGAGCGAACAGACGAGAGUGCUUGCCCUCUCUGACGUUAGCGGCGGCCGGGUGAGUAACACGUGGGUAACCUACCUAUAAGUCUGGGAUAACUUCGGGAAACCGGAGCUAAUACCGGAUAAUAUUUAGCUUCGCAUGAAGCAAUAGUGAAAGCCGGUUCUGCUGUCACUUAUAGAUGGACCCGCGGUGUAUUAGCUAGUUGGUGAGGUAACGGCUCACCAAGGCAACGAUACAUAGCCGACCUGAGAGGGUGAUCGGCCACACUGGGACUGAGACACGGCCCAGACUCCUACGGGAGGCAGCAGUAGGGAAUCUUCCGCAAUGGGCGAAAGUCUGACGGAGCAAUGCCGCGUGAGUGAAGAAGGUUUUCGGAUCGUAAAACUCUGUUGUAAGGGAAGAACAAGUACGUUAGUAACUGAACGUAGCUUGACGGUACCUUACCAGAAAGCCACGGCUAACUACGUG
rnacentral:rRNA from 1 species